rnacentral:lncRNA from 1 species
UGUAAGGGUACAACAAGAUCUUCUUUUCCGAAGGGUACGAUGGGGUAGUGUAACCUUGGGUUCCAUUGAUGACGUGCUGGCUCCACCAUCAUUCAAAAUCCUUCCUCUUUCCAAUAAGAACCCUUCAAUAAUUGGAUGUAUUGACACUUGCGAGAAUUUGGCUGUCGAGCAAGUGGCUUGCACCACUUUCGCAACUACCCAGUGGGCUUGAGGGAUUAUUUCAGCAGUGUGAACGGGGGCAAAAUAUCGCACCGCCCUACUUAGUCCGUCACCACUGACAGUUGUUGUCGGUGUAAAAAAAUAUGCCAACUACAGCAUAAGCAUACCUGUGAAAUGCCAAGAGCAACAAAAGGGGUAAAAAUAUAAAAACCAUAUGUUUCCACAAGAUAGCUCUCUUUUGCUGACUGAUCCUCAACCGGAGUGCAGUGCGCGCGUGAUUAAUUAGUAUUACCGUAUAGUGAGGUUAAACAAUAACACCUCGUGGUGAAGUCCACUAUCAUUUUAGUGUUGUUUCUUUUGUGAAUCGUAGAGGUUAAAAGUUCAAUUACCUACGGUUACCGUAAUUUCGAUACUCAAAUACGCUUUGUAUAAUUGUGAAAUAUUGUAUUAAGGAAAAGGUCCCAGAUAGGACCUUUUUCUUUUGGUGUUUUUUCCCAGUGUUGAGCAGCUCAUCAGAGGUUCUCCAAGUGAAGGAAGCACAUGUAGAAUUGGAUCCAUCUUAUGGUGCGAAGCCAUCCCGCUGCCGAUUGGAAGGCCCGCGGCCGCCAUUGCUCCAUCUACACCGGCGAAACCGUUCAUAGAGUCUGCCACGCGGUGGAAGAAUCUCCAUUGUGGAUUUGGAAUCUUUUGUUUGGCAUACGUCGGCAUUCAACGAUUGUGCUUUUGUUCGUCAGCCGCCGACAUCCAAUCCUCACCUUAGUUCGGCACCUCAAUCACGCUUCUCUCCGGCCUCUGGCUGGCACCGCUCCAUUACCUCUGGACGUCUCUCGACUGGCAUCAUCAUCAUCACCUCUGUUCGGCUUCCCGCCGACAUCCCACCAUCUCUUCUGUCUGGCAGUCCGCUGAUACUACAACCGGCUAGUGGCUGGCAAUUGACCAUCGCCUCCGUUCGGCCUCCGCCGACUCUACAACACCACUUCAGUUCAGCCAAGCCGGCAAUACAUCAACACUACUGUCCAGCAUCCGCUGGCAUCCAAGCAUCGCUUCAGUUCGGCUCCAAGCCGACAUCCGACCAAGCCUUCGACCCGUUUCCCUACUGGCAUUUAACCAUCAAGUGCCAAUGGGAGGCACUAUAACAGCAGGAUAGAUGCCAAAGCCACCCCAGGACCGGUCCGCCUGCCAACGCUACCACCCACCCAGCAUGCAUGCAAGUAUGAACCCUAAACUGUGACGUCAUUAGAAUAAAUACCUGUAAAAUGAA